AUUUGUCUGUAUGUUUCUGUUUCCUCAGAAUACAGAGAUUCAGAGACUCCUGCAGAAAGCCUGUGCUGACGCUCCAGACGUUCAUCCGGUCAAAACACACUCCAGAGGAACAGAGGGCAUUGUGGUUCAAAGAGUUAAACGACAUGAGAGUCCCAGCAGUGGCAGAAAAGACGCAGACCUCACAAAACAAAGGAGUCAGAAGAGGACAGACAGAGCAGCGACCACCAUAGGAGUAUUAGACCAGGUACCAUUCUCCAGAUAUCUGUCUUAUUUAUUUAUCUGUUUGUUUAUUUA
rnacentral:lncRNA from 1 species